rnacentral:rRNA from 1 species
UCUAUAAUGCAGUCGAACGAGUUCUGAUUAUUGAAAGGUGCUUGCAUCUUGAUUUAAUUUUGAACGAGUGGCGGACGGGUGAGUAACACGUGGGUAACCUGCCCUUAAGUGGGGGAUAACAUUUGGAAACAGAUGCUAAUACCGCAUAAAUCCAAGAACCGCAUGGUUCUUGGCUGAAAGAUGGCGUAAGCUAUCGCUUUUGGAUGGACCCGCGGCGUAUUAGCUAGUUGGUGAGGUAACGGCUCACCAAGGCAAUGAUACGUAGCCGAACUGAGAGGUUGAUCGGCCACAUUGGGACUGAGACACGGCCCAAACUCCUACGGGAGGCAGCAGUAGGGAAUCUUCCACAAUGGACGCAAGUCUGAUGGAGCAACGCCGCGUGAGUGAAGAAGGCUUUCGGGUCGUAAAACUCUGUUGUUGGAGAAGAAUGGUCGGCAGAGUAACUGUUGUCGGCGUGACGGUAUCCAACCAGAAAGCCACGGCUAACUACGUGCCAGCC